GAGUUUGAUCAUGGCUCAGGAUGAACGCUAGCGACAGGCUUAACACAUGCAAGUCGAGGGGCAGCGGGGGAGCAGCAAUGCUCCCGCCGGCGACCGGCGCACGGGUGAGUAACACGUAUGGAACCUGCCCGCAGCAGGGGGAUAAGCGGAAGAAAUUCCGUCUAAUACCGCGUAACACCGCAGAGGGGCAUCCCUCGGCGGUUAAAGAUUCAUCGGCUGCGGAUGGCCAUGCGGCGCAUUAGCUAGUCGGCGGGGUAACGGCCCACCGAGGCGACGAUGCGUAGGGGUUCUGAGAGGAAGGUCCCCCACACUGGUACUGAGACACGGACCAGACUCCUACGGGAGGCAGCAGUGAGGAAUAUUGGUCAAUGGCCGGGAGGCUGAACCAGCCAAGUCGCGUGAGGGAAGACGGCCCUACGGGUUGUAAACCUCUUUUGUCAGGGAGCAAGAGGCGGGUCGAGACCUGCUGUGAGAGUACCUGAAGAAAAAGCAUCGGCUAACUCCGUGCCAGCAGCCGCGGUAAUACGGAGGAUGCGAGCGUUAUCCGGAUUUAUUGGGUUUAAAGGGUGCGCAGGCGGAGGCACAAGUCAGCGGUAAAAUCGCGGGGCUCAACCCCGCUCCGCCGUUGAAACUGUGUCCCUUGAGUGCGCGAAGGGUAGGCGGAAUGCGUGGUGUAGCGGUGAAAUGCAUAGAUAUCACGCAGAACUCCGAUCGCGAAGGCAGCCUACCGGCGCGCAACUGACGCUCAUGCACGAAAGCGUGGGUAUCGAACAGGAUUAGAUACCCUGGUAGUCCACGCAGUAAACGAUGAAUGCUAUCUGUCCGGCCGGAAUGACGGCUGGGUGGCACAGCGAAAGCGUUAAGCAUUCCACCUGGGGAGUACGCCGGCAACGGUGAAACUCAAAGGAAUUGACGG
rnacentral:rRNA from 1 species